GAUGAACGCUGGCGGCGUGCCUAAUACAUGCAAGUCGAGCGAACAGACGAGGAGCUUGCUCCUCUGACGUUAGCGGCGGACGGGUGAGUAACACGUGGAUAACCUACCUAUAAGACUGGGAUAACUUCGGGAAACCGGUGCUAAUAACGGAUAAUAUAUUCAACCGCAUGGUUCAAUAGUGUAAGACGGUUUUGCUGUCACUUAUAGAUGGAUCCGCGCCGCAUUAGCUAGUUGGUAAGGUAACGGCUUACCAAGGCAACGAUGCGUAGCCGACCUGAGAGGGUGAUCGGCCACACUGGAACUGAGACACGGUCCAGACUCCUACGGGAGGCAGCAGUAGGGAAUCUUCCGCAAUGGGCGAAAGCCUGACGGAGCAACGCCGCGUGAGUGAUGAAGGUCUUCGGAUCGUAAAACUCUGUUAUUAGGGAAGAACAAAUGUGUAAGUAACUAUGCACGUCUUGACGGUACCUAAUCAGAAAGCCACGGCUAACUACGUG
rnacentral:rRNA from 1 species